AACUGGACUUUCACUUUCACCAGCAACCAGAAUAGCAGCAGGGAAGGCUGCCCCUGAGUCACAGGCCACCUGCAGAGAAGAGUGGGGGCCAAGCCAGAGGCCCCAGAGGUGACUCUUGGAAGAGUCUCAAAGGGAAGAAGAAGAGGGGAGCCUCGGCCUCAGGCACCUGCUGCCCAGGAAUGCACCACCCCACACAUGCCAGAAUCCACCCUUGCAACAGCUGCAGGCCCCGAGGUCUCGAAGCUCCAGGACCUGUCAGGCCCUGUCACCCUGCAUGGAGAUUGCUCACAACAGCAGGAAAGAGGAUGUUUGGACACCUUAAGAGCCCUCUUGAAAUUCCAGGGUUCAGAAUUGUAGGCUGAGCUGGGUGCUCAUUGCUUCAAGUUCACUCAACCCAGGAGAAAGUCAGCUUCCUGUUUACAGGGCUCGGUAGGGGGCUGAAUCCUGCGGAAAUUUUGAAGACAUAUUUUGGAUAAUUCAGUCCGUCUAAAGACUACAAGGUUUUUGAUUUUGAUUAAAAGCCGCAACAGAGCUAUCAUUGUGUGCAGAAGGCUGCUCCCCAUUGUCCUGAAUUCCAAGAAGGCCCUGGGGGCACAAUCCAAAAUAUCACAAUGGCUUCCAGGAAAUUCCCUGCCAGCUUCGGCAUCAGGAGAGAGAAAGCUGCCGCACUUUCUGGGGCAAAGGCGACGCUGCUCCAGGCAGUGCUGUGGGUCUUUGCUGGAGCCUCCCUCCCUGGGGCCUCACCCUUCUUGCGGCCUGCAGGCGGCCUGGGACGUCCUGACUGCUUCCCACGCUCCCUUCCAGCAAGCCCUCUGCACUCCGGGAGAGAUUUAUGCCACAUUUUGUUAGGCAAGCCUUGGAAACUAGCAUCGCAUGCCCAGAUUCCUGUGCUGCGGGCCUACUAUGUGCCGGAGAGGCUUGGUCAAAUAAAACAUGUGGUGGAUUUAAGCGCGGGAGGGAGACCCACUCAGAGACUUGAUGGAAAAGCUGAGUGUGCUGUGUGCCACUCUCCCCUCUGCAUCAUCCUUGCUUUGUCCAAGUGUUUACAGAAAUGCGUGUGCACUUCCCGGAGUUGCUAUAAUAAAUAGCACACCACGUACCUGGGUGGCUUCAAACAUC